rnacentral:tRNA from 1 species
GAGGAUAUAGCUGAGUGGUUACAGCAUUUGUCUAGCAUAUGAAAUACCCUGGGUUCAAUCCUUAGCACUCCCA